UUCUCCCGUGAGAGGGUCAUUGC
rnacentral:piRNA from 1 species